rnacentral:lncRNA from 1 species
UUUCUAAGUGACCAUAUUGUGGCAGGAAACUCAUGCUGAGGGACUAGCAUAGAAGUGGAUUUUCCUCAUACGUCUUCUUUUAUGCUUUAAACCUUCUACUUCUCAUCCUUACCAUUACACUCUUUGGUACAGGAAGUGCCCACGAACUGUCCACUGGACAAUAAAAGUUCUGGUAAAGAGAACCUUGAACCAGUUCUCUGCUUCCCUCUCGUAAGGAAAAGACCCACCAUGAAACUUUUUGCAGCAGUCAUUCUCGUUAUGGUUUUGCUUCAGAACUUCGAUGUGUUCAUGGUCAGAGGAGCCCUUGGUUCCCGAACGAUGCCAUCCAGCUAUUGUGAAAGCCUACGCACAAAAGAAAUAAAAUGCCAGAGAAUUAAGAGCUAUUCAAUGCUGCAAAAUGAACCUAAAAACAAAGUAUUAUUAAUCCUGAAGAAGAAGAAUACCAAGGUCUGUGUGCCAGCUGAACUUUCAUGGGUGAAGAAAAUCAUCCUCUGCUUAGAUAAAAAAAAUGGUACCUACAAAUCCUAACAGAAUUAUGACUCGUUUGAAGUUUUGACCAGUUAAACUGCAACAUGUCAAACCAUUCUCCACUCAUCCCUGAAAACCAGGCUAAUUGAAGCAGGGCCUUUUAUAUAUUUAACCUUAGUUGCUUUGGAAUUCUAUAUAUAUAUAUUUAUUGAUAAAAGCCAGCUUUUUAAAUAAUUUUAUUUGUAGCUAAUAUUACAUAAUGUGCACAAAAUAUCCAAUGGAAAAACUGAUUUUUUUUUAAAAUAUUUUGACUCUUCUGUCUUUCGCUGUUGUAAAAAUUGUGGUCUGGUUCCUCUGGCACCCUUUUUUGGGUACCUGAGAGGGUACCAUUUCCAGUUCAUCAUUUCUCCCAACCAUUAUCUCUGAUCCUUUAUGUCUUUUCUGUAAUUUAUACUGGAACGAGUUUUGAACUCACAAUAAAUGAUACUGUGGAGAUCCCCUCCA